ACACCUCUUGCGACUUCUGUAGUGUUAAAUAAAUCCUCUUGUUAUUUUCGUAGUGUCAAAUUGCUUAUGUUAGAAGAUGUCAACGCUGUGUUUGAUAAAAUGUCUCAACUGAACUUUUUGAGAAUAAAGUAGGAAAUCAAUAUUUAGCAAUGUGAGAAAUUGUAUUCCUUACAACACGCAUUUAUAAUGGAUCUACAAGAAUCCAGCUAAAAGAAGUACUAACCUUAUAAGACGUCAGCGCGAAGCUCCCACGGGAUUGUGGACUUACCACAGAUGCGAGUAUUAUAAUAGAGCUUCAAAGUUAGGGACGAGAAUUACACCAAGGUGGAGGGGAGGUCAGGAAAGAGAUAGAAAAUACAAUGCGAGAUUUUAAGGUAAUAAUGGUAAAGGUGAACAAUGUACAAGAUACUCGAAGGAAGGAGAUCAUGAAUAGUCCAUACUUCGGAUAGAAGGCUAUAAGCACGAGGAUCCAGUAAUCGGGAAUGAUAACGGCAUCGUUAGCGGCAUGUUUUCCAACCUACGGUUUCUAAGUACUGAGAUAUCUAGCUAAGAGAGUAGAGAAGAGUUAGAGAUGAUGGGAUGUCUCACUUGAUGUUCUAAAAUAACACAAGGAAAUUCAAGCAAGUUGAAGGAAGAUUACGAGUAGUAUAAAUACAUAUGAUUACGAGUAGUAUAAAUAGGUAUGUAUAAAUAGUAGUAUAAAUAUAUGGUAUAAAGUAUGGUAAAGUGACAAGGUUUUAGGAAGAUAGGAAUACAAAUAAGAAAGGGUAGUGAAAAGAUGACAAUAAUGGAUUAGUCAUCUAUACUAGGCCCAUGAAAACAAGGGAGCUAAUGGUUUCUCCAUGUAAUAGUAAGCUCAGUAUAGCCUUAAUGGACUCAAAGGAGUUACUCUUAAUAAGUAGCAUUUAGAAGAGAUGGAAUCUACCCUAAUAGUAGAAUAAGGGUGUAAUUGUGAUGGAUAAAGGAUGACGUUUGGGCCUUCGAAUGAGUAAUGAUUUGAAGAAAAAAUGGAUUUAUGCAUUGUAUGGGACUAAAAUACACACAAAGAGAAUAACCUUGGAAUACUUUAGAAUACGGUUUGAAGUAUUGUAUCGCUGCUAAGUCGAUCAAGAAAAUUACUUCGAACAAUCCUUGAUGUAGUGUAAGCUCUAGUGGCAAAGUAUUACAUAAGGAGUUUCAAGUUAUCAUUCGUAUAUUGUAGAUCGUUAUUAAGGUAAAUCAACAAUGGAUGGACAAAAGUCACAAAGUAUGAGAUGAGAUUAGGCCGUCAUUCUAAAGAUAAGAAGAUAUGAGGAAGCGUUAAAGGACUUAAAUUUAUUCAUAUAGAAUAAGCAAUGAGAGUAAGCUCGAAUUUUGUAGUAAACCUCACAAUGAUAAUUAAAGUAAAGAGUUAUUGCAGUAAAUUCAUACGGAAGGAUAAACAUUAAACAUGCCUAUCACACCUCUUAUUUCACCUACACCCCGCGAAGGGGCGUAUUAAAGGAGUUUUUUAGCCUUAAAGUGACAAUCAAAACGGGAUUAUUUAUUGAUUAAAUUCAAAGUCACCACUUGGGAUAAUUUUAUGGUGUCCCAAAUCACCGGUUGAAAUUCCGGAAGAGGAAAAGAUUGACCAUGUAUUACAGUCUGCAAAAACAAAAAUUCGAGUAAGGAAUUCUAUUUAUCUAGGAGAAGGUGUUAGGCGUUCCCGAUUUCUAUGGUUCUAGCAUGGUUUCUCAGCUGUCAUUAUUGGCCUACUUAUUUGAUUUUAAAACAUCUUUGCAACCUAUGUGCAUUUUUAACUUAACCGCUUUAUUUAACUAAUUUUAGGAAAAAUUCGACGUUAUCUAAAACACAUCUUGAACCACGUCACAUAAAUGAACCCGCUGUCCAUGAUACAUUUUAUCUAACAUUUUUGAGAUUAGAAUUUGGGUCACAUAAAUACACACCAAGUUUAGGAAGGUAAUUUUUAAAAUAGCACACCUAAAGCAACUAUGUACAUUCAAAUUUGUGAGAGCCAUGAAAAAUUCACUAAAUGUCACACCUCAAUUUGUAAAAAAUUAAAGUUAAUCAAGUGAGGAACAUGGACUAUGUGAUUGGAUGGCACCUCAACUUAUUUAAGGAAAAGACUUGUAUUCAACUAAAGCGAAUUACAGACUUCAUUGUUAGGCCAAAAGAUUAUGGAUAUAGUUUGCGAUAGAAAAUAGUAAACUUCAACGACAUGAAUUUCCAGCAAAAAAAGCAAUCCUCAAAAGUGAACGUAAUCAAUUAUUAACCUUCUGUUAGAAGCUUAGCAAAGUUAGCCGACUCUUAGCUCAUAUAUUGUUUUCCCUUUAAUAUUAGCUAAUUGAAAAGAUUAUUCCCUAAAAUUUGAGGAUUAGUCAGAAGGAAACAAUUAAACUAUCAUAUCAAUAAGGAGCAAAAACGUGGAUCAACAUAUAUAAUACUCGAAAAUUGAGACAAAUGCGAGAUGUUGAAAUAUAAACAGUAAAUAACAAAAAGGGAUGGACCUUAAUUUAUUGAUUUGAAGAUCGACUGCUACACAAUUUGAACCUAAAUUUCGACUGAAUAAGCAACAGCGAAAUUGGUCCAAGAACUGCGAAUUUCGACAUCAACUGAAUUGGCACCGGGAACUCAAACUGAACACAAGUUCAGACCCACAUUUCGAACGAAAUCCAUCCUCAAUAUAAAGCAACUUUGGUUCUGAAAAUGCUUAGCACAAGAAAAUUUGGGAAGCGGUAACUAGAUGGGAUCCAAAUCUGUCCGAAAACCUCGCCGAAAUUUCAAACUCGAACCCAAAAUCAAAGACUGAAUAAUGACGCCCGUGAUCUAGUAAGGCAACGAGAGUUUUUAGCUGCUUAAGAGACGUUGCUGCUAGUUUUUUCUGCGCUUUAGCGGCCAUUGCUACUGUUUACGGCGGGCUCUGGUAAUGGAGGAAACAGGCCUGUGGGUGAUGGAUAUGGAUUCGAGCAGUGGGUUCGAUGGUGAAGAGGAUGGGCGUCAUUGGAUUUGUUUGGGAAAUAUGAGUGGGGUCUCAAGCUGGAAAAUGUCGAAGAAGCAGAGGUCGUUUGGGGUGAAGCAAAGAAGAUGUGAUCGCGGGGGGUGGGUUCCUUUCUGAAAAUCGGCGCUCUUCUCUAGCUUUUCCCUAGGCCUUCUUUUUUUUUUUAGCUCCUUAGGGUC
rnacentral:lncRNA from 1 species